CCCACUCCCAACGCCCUACCACAUGUGAAAAAGGGUAUAUAGUAUCACCAUAUGCUUGGUCUUGAAAUUGCAAAAAGAUCUGGUGUAUACGCUUGAUCAUUCACAACCUUGGUCCAGAAAUUGCAAAAGAAAUCUUGUGUGUACUACUUUUACUCAUGAUCACCAUGAAGUGUAGAUAUGCAUGGAAUGUUUUUGUUUUCAGGAUCAGUACGUUUUUUUUUUUUCAGAAUAAGGGUCUUUUUGAUACUGACAUUAUUGUUAUUGCUGAAGUUUAAAUUACAUUCAGUGAUAGCUCUAGUUUGUGUUAAUAUCAUCAAUUUAAUUUGUAAGUAUGUGUGUAAUUCAGUCAUUCAGUUCUUGAAGGGUCUGAUUAAGUGAGUAGUAUCUUUAUCAAUCUGACACAAAUUGAUGCAGACAUUUUGAUGUCUUCCAUGGUUCGUUCAAAAACACAGGCUUUCUUAGAUACAUUGUUAAAGUUUGUUUUAAUAGAGCAUUACUCUGCUGUAUUUUCUGUAUAGUGAAAUAAUUUGUAUGAUAUUUGUAAUAGUUUUAUUUCUGUACUUGGGGAUUUUCUGACGUAAACAGUAAUUGCCUUAAAAGUGAAAAUGGGAUGUUUGAAAGUUAAAAGCCGGUCAAAAGUCAAAGUCACAGCAUAGAGAAGUAUGUAUUACCUACUUACCAUAGACAUGCCAUCAUGGGGGUGUAUGUGUUUUCAAACAGCUCUUGUUCUUCUUUUCCUUAAGCAUCGUGCACUCAUUAAAGAAUGAUUUUAUAUUAUUGAAAUUUUGUUCUAAUUUUAUUUGACCUUAUUGAAUCUCAGAUCAAAGUAGCCUAGAGGGCUAGGAUUGGAAAUUUCAUUCAUCUCGAUGUGCCAAACUAAUUAAUUGCAGAUAAGUUUAAUUGAUAAACAUUCAUGGUGUCCUUUGCCGUCAAUGAUUUUUUUCACAGGGGGAGUGAAUUUUUAAUUAGCUUUUCCAAUUAUAGUGUCUUUACUUAAAAUAUUGGCUUAUAGUCCUCAAAUUUAAUUACGUUUUGUUAAAAUAGAAAAUGUAAAUUCACAUAUUUUCUAUCAGUUGAAAUCAGUAAGUCCUCAGGCCAGUUUGAAAUAACUUGCAAGAGAGAAUAAUAAUUGAAGAGAACACAUUCAAGCUGAAUUUGAAUUCAUGUCUCUGUUCUUAUUUUAAGACUCCCUGUCAUUUCUGAAUGUCAUAUCUCACUAUAAAUAUAAAGGUAAGGUCAGUUACCAGUGUUUAUGGUAUAACCAAAUGAAACCAAUCUAUGACCUUGUUGUGAGUUAUGACAUUGACUAUAAAAAUGACAACUGUUGGCGUUAAUGAAAUAUUAUAGAAAUAUGAAAGCAUGCUUGAAUAUACUGCCAAACAUACUGUUGUUUUUUGUUUUUAGCUCACCUGUCACAAAGUGACAAGGUGAGCUUUUGUGAUCGCGCAGCGUCCGUCGUCCGUGCGUGCGUGCGUCCGUCCGUGCGUGCGUGCGUAAACUUUUGCUUGUGACCACUCUAGAGGUCACGUUUUUCAUGGGAUCUUUAUGAAAAUUGGUCAGAAUGUUCCCCUUGAUGAUAUCUAGGUCAAGUUCGAAACUGGGUCACGUGCAGUCAAAAACUAGGUCAUUAGGUCUAAAAAUAGGAAAACCUUGUGACCUCUCUAGAAGCCAUAUAUUUCACAAGAUCUUCACGAAAAUUGGUCAGAAUGUUCACCUUGAUGAUAUCUAGGUCAAGUUCGAAACUGGGUCACGUGGGGUCAAAAACUAGGUCAUUAGGUUUAAAAAUAGAAAAACCUUGUGACCUCUCUAGAGGCCAUAUUUCUCAAUGGAUCUUCAUGAAAAUUAAUCAGAAUGUUCACCUUGAUGAUAUCUAGGUCAAGUUCGAAACUGGGUCACGUGGGGUUAAAAACUAGGUCAGUAGAUCUAAAAAUAGAAAAACCUUGUGACCUCUCUAGAGGCCAUAUUUUUCAUGAGAUCUUCAUGAAUAUUGGUCAGAAUGUUCACCUUGAUGAUAUCUAGGUCAGGUUCGAAACUGGGUCAUGUGGGGUCAAAAACUAGGUCAGUAGGUCUAAAAAUAGAAAAACCUUGUGACCUCUCUAGAGGCCAUAUUUCUCAAUGGAUCUUCAUGAAAAUUGGUCAGAAUGUUCAUCUUGAUGAUAUCUAGGUCAAGUUCGAAACUGGGUCACGUGGGGUUAAAAACUAGGUCAGUAGAUCUAAAAAUGGAAAAACCUUGUGACCUCUCCAGAGGCCAUAUUUUUCAUGAGAUCUUCAUGAAUAUUGGUCAGAAUGUUCACCUUGAUGAUAUCUAGGUCAAGUUCGAAACUGGGUCACGUGGGGUCAAAAACAAGGCCAGUAGGUCUAAAAAUAGAAAAACCUUGUGACCUCUCUAGAGGCCAUAUUUCUCAAUGGAUCUUCAUGAAAAUUGUUGAGAAUGUUCAGCUUGAUGAUAUUUAGGUCAGGUUCGAAAUUGGGUCAUGUGCGGUCAAAAACUAGAUCAGUAGGUCGAAAAAUAGAAAAACCUUGUGACCUCUCUAGAGGCCAUAUUUUUCACGGGAUCUUCAUGAAAAUUGGUGAGAAUGUUCACCUUGAUGAUAUCUAGGUCAAGUUUAUAAGUGGGUCACGUGCCUUCAAAAACUAGGUCAUUAGGUCAAAUAAUAGAAAAACCUUGUGACCUCUCUAGAGGCCAUAUUUUUCAAUGAAUCUUCAUGAAAAUUGGUCACAUGUGCUCAAAAACUAGGUCACUAUGUCAAAUAAUAGAAAUAACGACGUCAUACUCAGUUCAACACUGGGUCAUAUGGGGAUAGGUGAGCGAUUCAGGACCAUCAUGGUCCUCUUGUUUAUUUAUAGCUGAAAGGCUGUGGACAGUUUGACCAAAUAUUAUUAUGUUAUGCAACUUUGUGACCUUGUUGUUGGCAAUAUUGUUGAUCAAAGUGAUCUAUAAAUCACACUCUACUUAUCCUGUAAUGCAACUAGUAAAACAUGGCACUUAACCUGUAGCCUGCUAAAUUUCUAAAAUGGACUCGUCCAUUAUUCAGUUUUGGCAGUAACGUUUAUUAUUCGUAGAGACGUGAACUAAAAAUUUACUGACUGAAUAGCAAACAGUGCAGACCAUGAUCUUGGAAUACACUGUUCGCAAAGGCAAAAAUACUGACUGGCAGCAGGCUAAAGGUUAAUUAACUAAUGUACAGCUAGACAUUGUAUCUAACUGUAAAUGACAGUUAACAAGUCAGUUUUUUGAGGGCACACAUAGAGAUAAAUGUAUGUGUAGGUUUCACCAUCAAUUCAAGAUGAAUAUGCAACCAAACCUUUGACUUGUGUACAGUUUUCGUAACAGAAAUUGAAUACCCAGUGCUUUAUAAUUGUUACUUGCAAAAGAAUGCAUUACCACUGCAUUAUGUAAUGAAAAUAAAAACACAUUAUGAAAAUUAUUCAACCUGUUGAAGAACAGCACCAAUUUUAAAACAAACAAACAAAAAUGUCAUGCAGGGCCUAUUAAUUGUGCACUGGUUUUUAUUCAGUGCCAAUAAGUAAUUUCAAAUAUAAUCAAUAGAGAUAUCAUUUGAAAAGUCUUGAUAGGUGUCAUUAAGGGAAAUUUGUAUGAAUGGUAUUUGUAAGCAUUUUGUAUGGGAAGUAGCAUUUUUAUGGAAAGUAGCAUUUUAAUGGGAAGUAACAUUAGCAUUUAUGAAAAGUAGCAUGAAGCAUCUUUUAUGGGAAGUAUUUGUUGUGGAGUUGGGUACAUCUGUGUGUAUGUGUAGAGGAAGUCGGGUUGGUUUUGGUAACAGCGUAAACACAUAAAAGAACAGAUAUUACAAUAAUUAAAUACACGCAGAAUUAAAAUCUCUGUCUUAGAAAUGUAAUAAUAGUCAUUAUAAGGACUGAAAUGUUGCUUCGUAUACAUGUUAUAAACAUCAUGCUGACAACAUUGAUAUCAUCAGAGCCAAUGAAAAAUAUUUUUUCAGUCAGUCACUAAUGAAUCAUUAGCCAAAUGAUUGGAGUAAGUUUAUUUGCACCCAGCACACGUUCUACAUGUAAACCAAAGCUUUAUACAUAUUAAUGCCUUUGCAAGUGUUUUACUCUGGUUGUAUGUCUUCAUGUAACAAGACUUACGUUGUUUUUUCAUGUUUUGUGACAAAAAUAUAUUUUAUUGAAAUGGAGCAUGUCUGCCAUUGAGAAAUAACACAGUCAAGAACUUGUGGGCCAUUGAGAAAUAACACAGGAUUCAUGUCUGCCAUUGAGAAAUAACACAGGAACUUAUCUGCCAUUGAGAAAUAACACAGUCAAGAACUUGUGGGCCAUUGAGAAAUAACACAGGAUUCAUGUCUGCCAUUGAGAAAUAACACAGGAACUUAUCUGCCAUUGAGAAAUAACACAGUCAAGAACUUGUGGGCCAUUGAGAAAUAACACAGGAUUCAUGUCUGCCAUUGAGAAAUAACACAGGAACUUAUCUGCCAUUGAGAAAUAACACAGUCAAGAACUUGUGGGUCAUUGAGAAAUAACACAGGACUCAUGUCUGCCGUUGAGAAAUAACACAAGAACUCACGUCUGCCAUUGAGAAAUAAUACAAGAACUCAUGUCUGCCAUUGAGAAAUAACACAAGAACUCAUGUCUGCCGUUGAGAAAUAAUACAAGAACUCAUCAUUGCCAUUGAGAAAUAAUACAAGAACUCAUGUCUGCCAUUGAGAAAUAACACAAGAACUCAUGAUUGCCAUUGAGAAAUAACACAAGAACUCAUGAUCGCUAUUAAGAAAUAACACAAGAACUCAUGUCUGCCAUUGAGAAAUAACACAAGAACUCAUGUCUGCCAUUGAGAAAUAAUACAAGAACUCAUCAUUGCCAUUGAGAAAUAACACAAGAACUCAUGAUUGCCAUUGAGAAAUAACACAAGAACUCAUGAUUGCUAUUGAGAAAUAACACAAGAACUCAUGUCUGCCAUUGAGAAAUAACACAAGAACUCAUGUCUGCCAUUGAGAAAUAACACAAGAAGUGAAAACAAUCAGAUGUCACAUUUAUAGUAGAAUUUCCAGUAAAACAAACGUAUAUUUUUGAUGUAGCAUGGAAAGCACCAGGUUUUAAAAUGAAUUAAGAUGUGUCUUCUGAAUAAUCAUGUGACCGAUUGAUAUGUAAUAGAAAUAAAGUACAGUUUGUGAAAUUGGCUGCAAUUUGUAGCAUGGUUGGAUGAAAUUAUUGUUUGUCACUGUUUUGAUUUCUGGCUCAGAAAAUAAAAAAGAUCCCUUCUUUUAAUUUUCAGUUAUCUUUAUGCUCUUCUUCAGUAUACAAAUUGUGACUUUUUUCAGUUUGCAGCAUUUUGCUAAAGUUUAGUAUAUAAAGUGUAUUAUGUUGUUGAACAUACUGUCAUUAGACAGGUUUUUACCAUCUCUUAUAUGAAUUGUUUCCCUGGUUACCAUACUGUUGUCAUUAAUUAUAAUAACUUCAGUGGUGGACAGACUAAUAGCUAUUUAAUGAUAUCAAACACUCUAUAAAUAGCACCUGAUAACUUGAGCUAUGACAUACUGAUUGAUAGAUAUGUUCUUAUUUUUCCAUUAUAUAAGGACUGGUGUAUAAAUCAGCCCACCAAGUUAGCUCUGUAGGUGAUGUACAAGAGGAUGAAUCAAGUGGUCUCCAGUUUGAUUACCAGGUGAAGUGUAUGUCCUACCUGAUCUUUUUGAAGUCUGAAGUCAUUUUAGAAUUGACAAAUUAACAACAGGGUGUAUGUACAUCAUAUUACAUAUAUUCUUCAGACUGAAUGUAAAUUGGGACUAAGAAAUACGAUUCUUUGUUUGAUUUUGAUGACAUCAAUUUUUAGCUCACCUGUCACAUAGUGACAAGGUGAGCUUUUGUGAUCACCCUUCGUCCGUCGUUUGUGCGUCCGUGCGUCAACAGUUUCUUGUCUGCACGAUAGUGGUUUCAUUUAUGAUUUUAUUUCAACCAAACUUGCACACAACUUGUAUCACCAUAAGAUCUCGGUUCCUUUCUUCAACUGGCCAGAUCCCAUUAUGGGUUUCAGAGUUAUGGCCCCUGAAAGGGCCAAAAUUAGCUAUUUUGACCUUGUCUGCACAAUAGCAGCUUUAUUUAUGAUUUGAUUUUUACCAAACUGGCACACAACUUGUAUCACCAUAAGAUCUUGGUUCCUUUCUUGAACUGGCCAGAUCCCAUUAUGGGUUCCAGAGUUAUGGCCCCUUAAAGGGCCAGAAUUAGCUAUUUUGACCUUGUCUGCACAAUAGCAGCUUCAUUUAUGAUUUUAUUUUAACCAAACUUGCACACAACUUUUAUCACCAUAAGAUCUUGGUUCCUUUGUUGAACUGGCGAGAUUCCUUUAUGGGUUGUAGAGUUAUGGCCCCUGAAAGGGCCAAAAUUGGCUAUUUUGACCUUGUCUACACAAUAGCAGCUUCAUUUAUGAUUUGAAUUUAAUCAAACUUGCACAAAACUUGUGUCACCAUAAGAUCUCAGUUCCUUUCUUGAACCGGCUAGAUCCCAUUAUGGGUUCCAGAGUUAUGGCCCCUGAAAGGGCCAGAAUUAGCUAUUUUGACCUUGUCUGCACAAUAGCAGCUUCAUUUAUGAUUUGAUUUUAACCAAACUUGCACACAACUUGUAUCACCACAAGGUCUUGGUUCCUUUCUUGAACUGGCCAAAUUCCAUCAUGGGUUCCAGAGUUAUGGCCCCUUAAAGGUCCAAAAUUGGCUAUUUUGGCUUUUGCAGCCAUAUAGAGGCUUCAUUUAUGGUUUUAUUUGAUACAAACUUCCAAAAUAUCUUCAACAACAAUAAAUCUUAGAUUCCAUGACAAAUCAGAUCCAAUCGUAGGUUCCAGAGUUAUUUUAUAUCUGAUAACCUCCCCUGAUUGUAAUCAAAAUGGAAUUAUAUCAGUAAGUACUUAUAGGACUUAUUUGAAAUUUCAUUAUUGUCAUUAGUUGGACUGAGACAAUCAGGGUAAAUAACUAUGGACUGAUUUUAUGUCAAAUUACCUCCCUUUAUUUCAAAUUAAAAUGUGUAUAUCUCUGUAACUAAUGAAGAUACUGAUCUGAAAUUUCAUUUAUGUCAACAGAUUUAUUUGGCGGAUCCUUCUUUUGUUCACUUACAAUAAUUUUUUUUAAUUACUUCCCUUUUACGUUACUAUAAAUAGCUUAUUUUUAGUAAUUUUUUUAUUAUUGGCCGUAGGGAAAAACCGAGACCACUUUUCUGUGGUACAACAUGGAUGGUACCUCCAAUUUUUAGGUGCAUUUUGACAUAUCUGUACCUUGUAAGAAUUGUUUUUUCUUUUUGGUUAAAUUUUUUCCCUUUGUUGUUCCUGUCCCUUGGACAUAAAUAUUUUUACUGAGGACCUUCUUGUCCUCAAGUGCAAUGAUAACAGGUGAGCGAUAUAGGGCCAUCAUGGCCCUCUUGUUCAAAUUUAAUGAUAUUUGGCCAGAGGCAAUUAUAUUUCUUAAAAUGUUUACUCCUUAAGUCAUGGUGCAUCGGCCAGACUAAUAAAAAGUGGUUCUCAUUUUCAAUGGUAUUCAUAUUACACAAUUUACAGAGUCUCUGUUUUUGCGGAGUAUCAUUGCAUCUUCCAGUUUCUAUGAAAAGAUUAUGAUUGUGAUGAAUUUUUAAAUCUAGAUAAAACAAAUAUGUAUUUGUUAUCAUCAGUAAGUGCUUUCAAAUAUUCUUCUAGUUUAAAUUCAAAUAUAAAGAUACAGUAUGACUAUUACCAGGUAUCUUUACAGUUCCGCCAAGUUGCUCUGUCAGUGAAAUUGCUCCAUUUCAUUCAAAUCUGGCCAUUAUAUUUUACAGUUGUCACAUCAACUGUAUGUAUUAAAUUUAAUGGCAAACUGUAAAGCUAAUGCUAGCUUGGAAUUAAUAUCUGAAAACUGCUGUAUUCAACUUAUAACCUGUACUUAAUAGGCUUGUUGUCAUUUAGAUGUUAUUUGCAUAUUUAAUAAUGGUUUCAGUUUAUGUCUUUAGAUGUGCGAAAGUCAUCCAGGCCCUUUCAAGACUAAAUUUGAUUGGCUAUUGAUAAAAGAAUAUUUCUUUUCAUUAGUUAAGUUAUUGCAAAUCUUGAUCUUGCAUAAUUUAAGAUUCAUGGAGUCAAGUUUUAGACAAAAAGGUGAAAAGAUGUUCUGAAAGUUCCUGGCAUUUCUUGCCAGAAAUAAAGAGGCAUAUCCUUGACUUACAUUGAGUCUGUCAAUUUAAAAUUGAAAGAACAUUUUUAACUUUGUCAUUUAAAUACAGGAUUUAUGUGUAUUUGUUGUAACCUCUUAACAUUGGAGAUUUAUUAUUCAUUGGAACUUUGUUAGAACUUUCUUGAGAUUUUUUUUAUCUAAAUGGAAAACUCAAAUUAAACAUGAAAAACAG